rnacentral:rRNA from 1 species
UCCUGCCGGACCUGACUGCUAUCGGAUUGAUACUAAGCCAUGCGAGUCUUUGUAGUAAUACAAGGCAGACGGCUCAGUAACACGUAGUCAACCUACCCUAUGGACAAGAAUAAUCUCGGGAAACUGGGCAUAAUUCUUGAUAGAUCAUAAUGCCUGGAAUGGUUUAUGGUUAAAAUGAUUCGUCGCCAUAGGAUGGGACUGCGGCCUAUCAGCUUGUUGGUGAGGUAAUGGCCCACCAAGGCGAUUACAGGUACGGGCUCUGAGAGGAGAAGCCCGGAGAUGGGUACUGAGACACGGACCCAGGCCCUAUGGGGCGCAGCAGGCGAGAAAACUUUGCAAUGUGCGAAAGCACGACAAGGUUAAUCCGAGUGAUUUCUGCUAAAGAAAUCUUUUGCCAGUCAUAAAACCACUGGUGAAUAAGGGGUGGGCAAGUUCUGGUGUCAGCCGCCGCGGUAAAACCAGCACCUCAAGUGGUCAGGAUGAUUAUUGGGCCUAAAGCAUCCGUAGCCGGCUUUGUAAGUUUUCGGUUAAAUCCAUGUGCUCAACGCAUGGGCUGCCGAAAAUACUGCAUAGCUAGGGAGUGGGAGAGGUAGACGGUACUCAGUAGGAAGGGGUAAAAUCCUUUGAUCUAUUGAUGACCACCUGUGGCGAAGGCGGUCUACCAGAACACGUUCGACGGUGAGGGAUGAAAGCUGGGGGAGCAAACCGGAUUAGAUACCCGGGUAGUCCCAGCUGUAAACGAUGCAGACUCGAUGAUGCAUUGGCAUAAUAGCCAGUGCAGUG